rnacentral:rRNA from 1 species
GACCCCGCACAAGCGGCGGAGCAUGCGGCUUAAUUCGAUGAUACCCGUAGAACCUUACCUGGACUUGACAUAUGAAGGGAAAGCAUAAAGAAAUUUUAGUGUGCGUAAGCGCCCUAUACAGGUGGUGCAUGGCUGUCGUCAGCUCGUGUCGUGAGAUGUUGGGUUAAGUCCCGCAACGAGCGCAACCCCCUGUCCUAUGUUGCCAGCAAGUAAUGUUGGGGACUCAUAGGAGACUGCCGUGAUAAACCGGAGGAAGGUGGGACGACGUCAAGUCAUCAUGCCCCUUAUGUCCAGGGCUGCACGCAUGCUACAAUGGCAAGUACAACGAGUCGCAAUACCGCGAGGUGGGAGCA